CGGGGGGCAGCAGUGGGGAAUUUUCUGCAAUGGGCGAAAGCCUGACAGAGCAAUACCGCGUGGAGGAUGAAGGCGUACGCGUUGUAAACUCCUUUUCCCAGGGAAGAAGAUCUGACAUUACCUGGGGAAUAAGCAUCGGCUAACCCUGUGCCAGCAGCCGCGGUAAUACAGGGGAUGCAAGUGUUAUCCGGAAUCAUUGGGCGUAAAGCGUCUGCAGGUGGAUAGAUUAGUCUUUUGUUAAAUCUUCGAGCUUAACUCGGAGCUUGCAAAAGAAACUCUCUAUCUCGAGUUAAGUAGAGGGAAAGGGAAUUUCCAGUGGAGCGGUGAAAUGCGUAGAGAUUGGAAGGAACACCAAAAGCGAAGGCACUUUCCUGGGCUUCGACUGACACUCAGAGACGAAAGCUAAGGGAGCAAACAGGAUUAGAUACCCCAGU
rnacentral:rRNA from 1 species